UGGGGCGUCGGCAAGUGGUAAGCCAUCGGGUUUUGGUCCCGACAUUCGCAGGUUCGAAUCCUGCCGCCCCAACCA
rnacentral:tRNA from 1 species